UACGGGGGGAGCAAGCGUUGUUCGGAUUUACUGGGCGUAAAGGGCGCGUAGGCGGUCGUGACAAGUCACUUGUGAAAUCUCCGGGCUUAACUCGGAACGGUCAAGUGAUACUGUCGGACUAGAGUACAGAAGGGGCAACUGGAAUUCUCGGUGUAGCGGGUGAAAUGCGUAGAUAUCGAGAGGAACACCUGCGGGCGAAGGCGGGUUGCUGGGCUGAUACUGACGCUGAGGCGCGAAAGCCAGGGGAGCGAACGGG
rnacentral:rRNA from 1 species